AAGUGCUAAGCUUUUUCUGGUUUUAUUUUACAUUUAAUGGACAUAUAUGUCUCAGCAGAAUCAUCAUUGCUACUCAGAUUUUUUUUAGAACUCCCCCAAAUCAAACUGUUUAACCAAUUGCUAUAAAUGGCAUGAAAGUUCAGAAAUUAAGGUACUAUAGUAAGAUAAUUUUGACUUUACAAAACAGAGCCAAUGAUUACACUGUCCAAAAUAUAGGAUGGAAUUAGGAUAUCAACAUAUCGGGAAGAAAGAUAAUAUAUAGAGGAGUGCUGGGCUGAACCCAUUAACAACUAUAUAUCUUUAUGCUUCACAUUAUCAGCUGAUGAAUCCAGAUAACAACAUGUAUUCAGACUUGAAGCAGGUGGUCAAUGGAAGUGCGUUUGUCUUAAUUGCAAGAAGUGGGACAAAACAAUCAUUUUGUGCCAUUGAUCUUAUGAAUAAGAGUGAUUCAUUCACAGUGAGAGCAGCAGAAGGCUGCUGCCCACGGGCAGGCUAAGUUAGUGGAGGAGGGAAUCCACUCAGCAGACAGUAGACUGACACAGGAAUAUGACAGGGGAUGCAUCAAAGCUGUCACAUACUUCCCUGUUUGACCCUGUGUGGCUAGAAAAUAGAAAUCUAUCUAGAAGAAUAUAGAAAUCUAUCUAGAAGAAGAUAGAAAUCUACCUUUUCUUGUAGCUCAUUUAUGCUCCAAUAACCUGAAACAACUGUGAACAAAUUGAAAACAAAAUGUAAAAUGUUCAGAUGCUAAGAGUGGGCAAAACUAAAGACUACUACAUUUAAAAAUAUAUUAAACAUAUGGUAUAAUCUCUUGGUGGUAGUCCUUCCCCAGGUAGGGACUGUACAAAAAUUACUGGGACAAAGGGUGGGGGGUUGAAUCAUAUGUUUUAGUUUUUACAUAAAGCAAUACCCUACCCAGAA